rnacentral:rRNA from 1 species
UACAGAGGUCUCAAGCGUUGUUCGGAUUCAUUGGGCGUAAAGGGUGCGUAGGCGGCGCGGUAAGUCGGGUGUGAAAUCUCGGAGCUUAACUCCGAAACUGCAUUCGAUACUGCCGUGCUUGAGGACUGGAGAGGAGACUGGAAUUUACGGUGUAGCGGUGAAAUGCGUAGAUAUCGUAAGGAAGACCAGUGGCGAAGGCGGGUCUCUGGACAGUUCCUGACGCUGAGGCACGAAGGUCAGGGGGAGCAAAACGGGGAUUAGAAA